rnacentral:tRNA from 1 species
GGGGCUGUAGCUCAGUGGUAGAGCUCUUGCCUAGCAUGCAAUAGGACCCAGGUUCAAUCCUCACUACUG